UUAAAACAUUGGUUCCCAUAUUAUCACCAAAGUUAAGCAAGAUAGAGCCUAGUCAGUACCUAGAUGAGUGACCGUUUGGGAAUACUAGGUGCUGUAA